GGACCUAUCUCAAAGUCAAUGUUUAAUCCUUUGAGACAUAAAGUUUGGAGUUCAAAGAUCCAACUAGAUUCCUUUUUACUUAGAUUAAAUGUAAUAUUCCCUCCUCUCCAAUGGGUUUGAACCUGUUGUAUUGCUGUAAAUUCUAUUUCAUCAGGAUUUGAAUUGUUUGAUUAAAAAAAUGAUUAGACACACUAUGAUUUACGAAACCAUUUCUUAUGUUUUUAACAUGUUC